CAAUGGGCGCAAGCCUGACCCAGCGACGCCGCGUGAGGGAAGACGGCCUUCGGGUUGUAAACCUCUGUUGCAGGGGAAGAAUAAAGUGACGGUACCCUGUUAGAAAGCCCCGGCAAACUACGUGCCAGCAGCCGCGGUAACACGUAGGGGGCGAGCGUUGUCCGGAAUUACUGGGCGUAAAGCGCGCGUAGGCGGUUAUGUAAGUCAGAUGUAAAAGGCAUGGGCUUAACCUGUGUGUGCAUCUGAAACUGUAUAACUGGAGAUGUAGAGAGGCAAGUGGAAUUCCCUGUGUAGCGGUGAAAUGCGUAGAUAUAGGGAAGAACACCAGUGGCGAAGGCGACUUGCUAGCUACAUACUGACGCUGAGGUGCGAAAGCCAGGGUAGCGAACCGNAUUANAUACCCGGGUAGUCCUGGCCGUAAACGAUGAAUGCUAGGUGUGGGGGAUUCGAUUCUUCUGUGCCGCAGUUAACGCGUUAAGCAUUCCG
rnacentral:rRNA from 1 species